rnacentral:rRNA from 1 species
GACGAACGCUGGCGGCGUGCUUAACACAUGCAAGUCGAGCGGUAAGGCCCUUUCGGGGGUACGACGAGCGGCGAACGGGUGAGUAACACGUGGGUGACCUGCCCUCAGCUCUGGGAUAAGCCUGGGAAACCGGGUCUAAUACUGGAUAUGACUCCAUGACGCAUGUUGUGGGGUGGAAAGCCUUGUGCGGCUGAGGAUGGGGCCCNCGGCCUAUCAGCUUGUUGGUGGGGUGAGGGCCUACCAAGGCGACGACGGGUAGCCGGCCUGAGAGGGCGACCGGCCACACUGGGACUGAGACACGGCCCAGACUCCUACGGGAGGCAGCAGUGGGGAAUCUUGCGCAAUGGGCGAAAGCCUGACGCAGCGACGCCGCGUGAGGGAUGACGGCCU